CCUACGGGAGGCAGCAGUGAGGAAUAUUGGUCAAUGGGCGCGAGCCUGAACCAGCCAAGUAGCGUGAAGGAUGACUGCCCUACGGGUUGUAAACUUCUUUUAUAAAGGAAUAAAGUGCGGCACGUGUGCCUUUUUGUAUGUACUUUAUGAAUAAGGAUCGGCUAACUCCGUGCCAGCAGCCGCGGUAAUACGGAGGAUCCGAGCGUUAUCCGGAUUUAUUGGGUUUAAAGGGAGCGUAGAUGGGUUGUUAAGUCAGGUGUGAAAGUUUGGGGCUCAACCGUAAAAUUGCAAUUGAUACUGGCAGCCUUGAGUACAGUAGAGGUAGGCGGAAUGCGUGGUGUAGCGGUGAAAUGCUUAGAUAUCACGAAGAACUCCGAUUGCGAAGGCAGCUUACUAAACUGCCACUGACAUUGAUGCUCGAAAGUGUGGGUAUCGAACAGGAUUAGAUACCCCUGUAGUC
rnacentral:rRNA from 1 species